AACGGGUGAGUAAUAUAUCGGAACGUGUCCAAUAAUGGGGGAUAACGAGUCGAAAGAUUCGCUAAUACCGCAUACGCCCUACGGGGGAAAGCAGGGAUCGUAAGACCUUGCGUUAAUGGAGCGGCCGAUAUCUGAUUAGCUUGUUGGUGAGGUAAAGGCUCACCAAGGCGACGAUCAGUAGCUGGUUUGAGAGAACGACCAGCCACACUGGAACUGAGACACGGUCCAGACUCCUACGGGAGGCAGCAGUGGGGAAUUUUGGACAAUGGGGGCAACCCUGAUCCAGCAAUGCCGCGUGAGUGAAGAAGGCCUUCGGGUUGUAAAGCUCUUUUGUCAGGAAGAAACAGCAGCUCUAACACAGUCUGCGAAUGACGGUACCUGAAGAAUAAGCACCGGCUAACUACGUGCCAGCAGCCGCGGUAAUACGUAGGGUGCAAGCGUUAAUCGGAAUUACUGGGCGUAAAGCGUGCGCAGGCGGUUAUACAAGACAGGCGUGAAAUCCCGGGCUUAACCUGGGAAUGGCGUCUGUGACUGUAUGGCUAGAGUGUGUCAGAGGGGGGUGGAAUUCCACGUGUAGCAGUGAAAUGCGUAGAGAUGCGGAAGAACACCGAUGGCGAAGGCAGCCUCCUGGGAUAACACUGACGCUCAGGCACGAAAGCGUGGGGAGCAAACAGGAUUAGAUACCCUGGUAGUCCACGCCCUAAACGAUGUCAACUAGUUGUUGGGGAUUCAUUUCCUUAGUAACGUAGCUAACGCGUGAAGUUGACCGCCUGGGGAGUACGGCCGCAAGGUUAAAACUCAAAGGAAUUGACGGGGACCCGCACAAGCGGUGGAUGAUGUGGAUUAAUUCGAUGCAACGCGAAAAACCUUACCAAGGCUUGACAUAUAGCGAAAAGUGGCAGAGAUGUCAUGUCCGCAAGGGCGCUAUACAGGUGGUGCAUGGUUGUCGUCAGCUCGUGUCGUGAGAUGUUGGGUUAAGUCCCGCAACGAGCGCAACCCUCGUUCUGUGUUACCAGCAUUCAGUUGGGGACUCACAGGAGACUGCCGGGGUCAACUCGGAGGAAGGUGGGGAUGACGUCAAAUCAUCAUGCCCCUUAUGUCUUGGGCUGCACGCAUGCUACAAUGGCCGGUACAAAGUGCUGCGAGAUCGUAAGAUUGAGCGAAUCACAUAAAGCCGGUCUCAGUUCGGAUUGAGGUCUAAC
rnacentral:rRNA from 1 species